UACGUAGGGGGCUAGCGUUGUCCGGAUUUAUUGGGCGUAAAGAGCUCGUAGGUGGUUCGGUAAGUCGGAUGUGAAAUCUCCAGGCUCAACCUGGAGGGGUCAUUCGAUACUGCCGUGACUAGAGUUCGGUAGAGGAGUGUGGAAUUCCUGGUGGAGCGGUGAAAUGCGUAGAUAUUGGGAGGAACACCAGUGGCGAAGGCGGUCCCCUGGGCCGGAACUGACGCUGAGGCGCGAAAGCGUGGGUAGCAAACGGG
rnacentral:rRNA from 1 species